GAUUUUCUUAAGGACAAGGAUGGAUUUAUUUUUGAUUUCAUAUCCUCAGCAUGUGGAACAAUAUAUGCCUGACAUAUAAAAGGAAAAUCCUGGGAGAAAGCUGACUGGAAGAUACUAGUGAAAAUGAGUUACACUAGAAGAGUUUUGUUGGCAUGAAGCAGUGUUGUACAAUGGGAAAAGUGCUGGUUUUUGGAGUCAAAGACCACGAGUUCAAAUUCCAAUUCUGCCACUUAUCUAUAUGACUUUGAGGAUGUCACAUAAUCUUCUUGGGCUUCAGUUUCCUCAUCUGCAAAAUGCUAAUAUUGGACUAGCUGUCAUUCAAGGCCCUUUUCAGCCCUAAAUACUUGAUCUUGUGGUCCUAGAUUAGAACUCAGAAGGCCUAUGCUUGAAUCUUCUAUUCAAGUACCAUAAUUUCCCAUUAAAUUUUAUAGGAAACAAUAAUAAUGUCUUAUGAGUCUAUGUGUGAUUUUACAAUUAACAAAACCCUUCCAUAUAGAUUCUCUCAUUUUAUUCCCUAUAAUGAUUUCCUGAGAAAAUUUUACCCAUAAUUUACAGAUGAUGAAAGUAGAACUCAAAGCCAUUAUAUGUCUUGCCCAAGGUCACACAAAUAGUAAGUAGAGAAUCCAAUGACAGCUAGUUUAAUACUUAUUACACUGACAUCACACUGCAGCCUGUAGAGAAAUAGCUCUUAGAAUCUGCCUUGAAACACGCAGUAUCAGUUGAUUAUUAAAAGGAGUAUUUCAUCAAUAAUGGU